rnacentral:lncRNA from 1 species
UCCCACAUAGUGGGGUCUGGGGGGGGUAAGAAUGUACGCAGUCUAUACCACUACCUCAAAGGUGAGGUAGAGAGGCUGUUUCCAAUAGACCCUGGCUCGAGACCAAACAACGUAGGAAAGACAUAAUAUAAGAACAAGAAACAAAAGGUAGUACCAAAACAAUAGAUAGUAGCAGGAACAAGAUUAUCACCAAAUAAUACUGCCAACAAUCUACCCGAAACCAUAAACAACACCCAAAAACUCCAAGAACAAGGUACUACCCGUGAUACUCUGCAACUACUAGCCCCCAUCCUACUAACUUUCUGUAAUGUCCAACAGUUGUAUAUAAUUGUAAUUGAUGAUUUGGGGAAAUAAGAGUAAAGUGAAAGGCACACAUGUUGUAGAAGCAGCCACGUCACUAGUAGGGCUGUCCAAGAGAAUAAAACGGAAGGUUGGGAUAAGAUCAAUUCAUGAUCCAACGGUGCAAAUCAAAGCUUCCAGAAGAUUCAUCUCCAAUUCAUUAAAUAUCCCAAUUGGAAUGGGAGUUGGCAGUUAGCUCAUUAUCGGUAUAAUCAGUUCACAGAAAUUCUCUCUAUUUUCUUCUUCACCUUACCUCUCCCGAUCCUCACUCUAAUACUUUCUUACAGGAACUCAGUUGAAGGCUCAAGUACCAUCAAUGGCGGAAUAGAUGAAUGUGUAGUUACAAUUUCAUUGUAAUCUUUCGGUUGAAAUUGUAAAAUUCACAACAGUUGAACUAUCAAUAAAAUUCCCCAAUUCGUUACAAUCGAUUCGUAUUUUUGGACAUUACAAAGUGGUAUCAAAGCACGACCUGGCCCUAUAAAUGACAAUGACAGAAACACGAUAAAAAACGUUGGAGGAGAACAUCAGAAAGCUGGAAUCUCAAUUCACGGCCUAUGUAUCAGCUGCAAAUUAGAAGACGGAAGCUACAGACGCCAAAAUUGAUGACCUUGGUAGGAAAUUGGACAUUAUGAUGGAGAGGUUAAUGCCAGCGAGAGACAGAAUUUUGGGAGCACCGAUUGGACGACGGCAUAGGAACAUGGAACAUCAUGAAGUACCUGCAGUAAGACAACACCAAACGCAUAAUUUUAGUCACAAAGUUGAAUUUCCCUAUUUCGAAGAUGGUGGUCCACAAGCAUUGUUGCGAAAGUGUGAGAGGUAUUUUCACUACCAUCGAGUCGAGAUGCCUGAAGAAAAAUUGGAAAUGGCGGUGUUACAUCUUAGCGGAAGAGCAGAAACUUGAUAUUUCUCUUAUCAAUUGAGUCGAGGAACUGUUAGAUGGCCGGAGUUUGUGGAUGAAAUUUGUAAAUGAUUUGUGGAUGCAGCUAAUAGUGCAUUAAAUUUGCUGGGAGAGUUCAAGAAGAUAGAGCUAUGGACCACUGUCAAUGAAUAUCUGGAGAGGUUUGAGGAUUUGAAGGCUUGGGUAUUGAUAAGAAAUCCUACUAUACCAGAUGAGUUUUUACUGGGAUUUUUCAUUGAAGGAUUAAAACAAGAUAUUAAGCAUACAAUGAAAUCCUCGAAGGUAGCGGUAUGGACUGUGUACAUCUUACCCUCCUCAGACCCUACUCUUGUGGGAAUACACUUGGUAAUGUCGAACGACUGUAUAUAAUUGUAAUUGAUGAUUUGGGGAAAUAAGAGUAAAGUGAAAGACACGUGUGUAGUAGAAGCAGCCACUGUCACUAGUGGGGCUGUCCAAAGGUAAAUGGAAGGUUGGGAUUAGAAGAUCAAUUCAUGACCCAACGGUGCAAAUCAAAGCUUCUGGAAGAUUCAUCUCCAAUUCAUUAAAUAUCCCAAUUGGAGUGGGAGUUGGCAGUUAGCCAUUAUCGGUAUAAUUAGUUCUCAGAAAUUCUCUCUAUUUUUUUCUUCUUCUUCACCUUAUCUCUCCCGAUCCUCUCCCUAAUACUUUCUUACAGGAACUCAGUUGAAGGCUCAAGUACCAUCAAUGGCGGAAUAAAUGAAUGUGUAGUUACAGUUUCGUUGUAAUCUUUCAGUUGAAAUUGUAAAAUUUACAACAGUUGAACUAUCAAUAAAAUUCCCCAAUUCGUUACAAUCGAUUCGUAUUUUUGGACAUUACAAAGUGGUAUCAAAGCACGACCUGGCCCUAUAAAUGACAAUGACAGACACACGAUAAAAACGUUGGAGGAGAACAUCAGGAAUCUCAAUUCAUGGCCCAUGUAUCAGCUGCAAAUCAGAAGACGGAAGCUACAGACGCCAAAAUUGAUGACCUUGGUAGGAAAUUGGACAUUAUGAUGGAGAGGUUAAUGCCAGCGAGAGACAGAGUUUUGGGAGCACCACCCGGAGUAGCUCAAGCUAGUGGUUCAGUUGGACGGCAUGGGAACAUGGAACCUCAUGAAGUACCUGCAGUAUGACAACACCAAACGCACAAUUUUAAUCACAAAGUUGAAUUUUCCUAUUUCGAAGAUGGUGAUCCACAAGCAUAAUUGCGCAAGUGUGAGAGGUAUUUUCACUACCAUCAAGUCGAGAUGCCUGAAGAAAAAUUGGAAAUGGCGGUGUUACAUCUUAGCGGAAGAGCAGAAGCUUAGUAUUUCUCUUAUCAAUUGAGUCGAGGAAUUGUUAGAUGGCCGGAGUUUGUGGAUGAAAUUUGUAAACGAUUUGUGGAUGCAGCUAAUAGUGCAUUAAAUUUGCGGGGAGAGUUCAAGAAGAUAGAGCAACGGACCACUGUUAAUGAAUAUCUGGAGAGGUUUGAGGAUUUGAAGGCUUGGGUAUUGAUAAGAAAUCCUACUAUACCGGAGG